UUUCCGUAGGUGAACCUGCGGAAGGAUCAUCA
rnacentral:rRNA from 2 species